GAGAACAGCUUUCCCUCGUGAUCUGCACCGGAAUGUCGCUCAGUCAGGCCUGUGGAGCGGAACGAACAGAGGUCAUCGAUGGUGGAGUGAAUUGGCCGUUCAAGGUCAUGUAAAAUGACUAAAAUACGACUUUCAGAGGAUUCAAAGAACAUUGAAUUUUUUUAUAGUGAAUAGACUUUUUUCCUCUAAAUGUAUCAUGCCUGCCAUUUUGGAUUUUUUUGUAGUUUAUUUUGCUAGCUAGUGCUAAAUCGGAGGUAAACACAGAGACUUUCCUGACGUUUGGUGUGAUUAAAAUGACCAAAAGAGAAUGGUUAUGUAAAGCAGCAUAGCUGUCACCAGCCUGCGAAUGCACACUUUAGAUAAUGGGUUUUAUUUAGCGUUUCCUCGGCAUAUCGCAGGACUUUUAUUAUAAAAGAAAGGAAACAAAUUCUGGUUGCCACCAACACAAAAGUGGCCUGCUAAAACUCUGGCAGGAAGAAAAAUAUAACUUCAAAAUAAAAGUCCCUCUGCCUCGAGUAUUCUGACUAAGGGACCACUUAAAUAUCAGCUUUUUUAUGUAGCCUAAACAAUUUCAGUUAUUUAUUUGGCAUUUCCAGUUCAGGCCUUAAUGAGUUCAUCAGGUCCUCUGUCAGAUUUUGCUAUUACCAUAUCAGUUCCACCUUACUGGAUUUUUGACAAAUAUUACAUUAUUAAAACCUACCCUUGGCAUUGGCAUCUACCCAAGGGUCAUUUAAUAAGCUAUUCCACUUACAAAUUUAAGCCCGACGACACAGAACCAAUGAUAAAUUGUCCGGGAAAUUCAGGCUCUAGCAAAGUUGCCCCUGGAUGGGUUGCUAUAUCACACAGCGAGGUCGUCACGAGCCAGUGAACUCUGUGUAUCUUUUCAAAAUCGCAUGACAUUAUUUUGGAUGGUAUUCCCCCUGUCUGUUUGAUACUCGAGUCCCUUUGUAAGAAGUCAAAGGAGCAAAGCGAAUGAGAUGUAGCAGUAUUUCCAAACCCUCAUAGAAACUUAGCCCCUGUGACCCAACAAAUGUUACCUGUGGUUUUCACUUUAGCUACCCGGUCGGGCCUAAUUCCAGGUCCUCCUGUUGCUUUUUUCAACGACCUCCCAUCCAUUUCACCCACUUCACGAGACUAUAUGAACAUCACUGGAAUGAAGUUCAUCAGCGUCGAUGGCCACCGUCAGUUCAGGCAGAUGCCAUGAUUUUCGAAACUGGGAGCGAGAGUGGCUGAAGAGUUAGCCGAGUUGUCCGUUGCACUUAGCUAUGUGAAACAUGUCCAGACAGGCUAAACUGGGGAAACGUCACAACAACCAUCUGUUUCCGUCACACCCCCCAUAGCUCGGCACAAUGGUGGAAAACUUAAUCGGGCAUUUUUUUUUUCAUACAAAAAUGCAUCAUCUUGGUGAGGAGUUAAAGGUCAACGACAUUCACAGGACACCACUCGACAGGUAAAUAUAUAUAUAUAUGGUUGCCCCAGCAUGUACAUGGCACGAGGUGAAGGUUGUUUCAAAAACUUGUGGUCAAUUGCUACGUCUUUCAAAAAGAGUGCUCUUUAUGUCUGACCUAAACAAUAUAGUUCGACCGUAAUCACAAAAAUCUGUGACUAAUUGUAUCUGAAAUCUAGAGGUAUAACUUAGACAUUUGUGGCAACCCAUGCUAAAGACACUGUUAACCAGAAGGUGGCACUAUUCAUGACAUUAAAGACGGUAUCAUUUCUGUCCAAUUUUCCGUCGGAAUCAUUUUCUGUCAUUGGUGGAAUUGCCUCUUGCCGUCGUGCUAUGAUGUAACAUGUGCUACGUCGCUUCAUUUCCUGCUGGGUGAAGCCAUGGGGUUUGUACCCUCCAUUAGUGACCUGACAGACACUUUGGCUCCGCCUUUGGGCUCCUGUUGCAUGUUUCCAGUGGACGGUCAGAGAUGUCGGCCUGCGCGACGAGCCAUUUUUAUGCCUGUGAUAGUUAAGUGCUUUCAGCUCAGAGGAAUGUAUUUGUACUGCAUUUAUUUGCUGUCUGCUUGUUUUGAUAAUGCAGACUCGUUUUAAGUGCCGUUUACGCUCUUCGAGCUGUGGACGUAAUUGUAAUGCGGCAGACGACGUAUCAUACUUGGAUAGAGGGCAUCUUGACUCCAUCUUGGUGGGGGUGCUGUGCGGCUCUCUGGGUUAGGAGGCUGUCUGAUUGGUAGGCCGCUAGUUUAAAUCUUGUGGUUGGCAGAGUGAUGUCACCAUCGGGCCCUUGAGCAAGGCCCUUAACCCAGUGGUUCCGGGGACUGUCUGUCUCUCCUUUCUCAAGUAUACAUCGCAUUUGGAUAAAAGUGUUUGCUAAAUAAGUAAAAUGUAAAUAUUGUUCUGUCUCUUUUAGAAGUGUGUGUGUGUGCGCGUGUGUGCGUUUUACAUGCUUGUUUCUAUCUCUGAUGCGGAAUAGGGUGACCUUAGACCUGGGAGAGAGAAACUAUUUGCUGCUGAGAUUACAAUGUUUUGGCAAGCUAGGGACCUAUUAUGGUUUUUUUGGAUCGAAAGGAAAAUCGUUCUUGAAUGACAUAAGUGUCUAUAUUAUAUUUGUAUUAGCUUCAAUAAGGAUUUUUUUCUAAAUCAAAAAUGUAUGACUAUGUAUUAUGAUUAACAUAGAGUUUUGCUAGAGAUAUGUAAUGAAGUAGCACGGGGCCCCAGGUCUGUCACAGUAGCUACUGUUUGAUGAAUGACAUAUUGUCCCAGAAAUAAUUGCGAUAAACGACAUUAUUGUCAUUUUACGACCAUUUUCUGCCACUAGUAUAUCGAUAAUGUAACAGUAUAAUCAUGCAAAGACACCCUUUCAGAAAACAAUUAACUUUUCAUUCUUAAGAAUAUGCAGCCUUUGGAAUCUCAGAAAAAAAAAUCGUAAAUAAAUAAAACACAAACCACAAUAUUUUUGAGGUAUGUAUCUAUAGGUAUCUGGUCUCUAAACACUUUGACUGCAGAGUCCAGUCAGCAGUGAUGUAAUGUAUGGUCAAGCUCAUGUUUGGGGUCAUAUUUGAGCUUGUCCACAUAUCUGUAGCAGCAGAGUAAGAGGAGAUGUCUCCUUCAGAAUGUCCUCUAUCAUUUUGUUGUACAAUUCUGGAAGGGCAGUUUCUUUGGCAAUUCGUACGGUUUGUCAAAAGUUUGCAGCAUAUUUGUUCUGUGGUUUUUUGGCCGUGGAAAACGGCUGCAUUUCUCUGGCUGUAUAGCGAAUUUUGGUAUCUGUGAGCGUAUGCCGUCUCACGGCGUCACGUUUACAUUUGCACUGUCAGCCAAAAGCAAACGUAAUAGACAACUGCGGAGAUGGCCCCCCUCCAACUCCAACUGCAAUUUUUGUUCCCACCUCAGAAAAUUGGAUGGUUUUGUUUUAGAUGAGUUUUUAGGUUAGUUGUAUUGCCACUUUUUCGCUGGCACUGUUUUUAAACAAAGGUGACAUUGCGGCUCGUUGGUGUUAAUGGGCUCUCCUCUCUCAUUCGGCUUAAAGCCGAGAUGCUCCCACGCUGGGGCCGUGGAAUGUGGCUUUGAAACUUUCUAGCUGGAAUUAUGCAUCAUCGGGAAAAAAUCAAGUAUUAAGACGUAUACUUUUUAACCUUGAGUAACGCUUUGGAGUAACACGUUACCAUCACCCCUCGCUGUCCGCUGUGUGACCUGAUCCGCGGCGACCAAACGCAUUCCCGCGGGAUCUGCAGCAGUAGUGAUCCGCGGCAGUAAUGAUCCGCGGCAGUAGUGAUCCGCAGCUGCUACACAGAGUAGAGGUCCGCAUUCCCGCGGGAUCCGCGGCUGCUACACAGAGCAGAGGUCCGCAUUCCCGCGGGAUCCGCGGCUGCUACACAGAGCAGAGGUCCGCAUUCCUGCGGGAUCUGCGGCAGUAGUGAUCCGCGGCUGCUACACAGAGCGGAGGUCCGCAUUCCCGCGGGAUCCGCGGCAGUAGUGAUCCGCGGCAGUAGUGAUCCGCGGCAGUAGUGAUCCGCGGCAGUAGUGAUCCGCAGCUGCUACACAGAGCAGAGGUCCGCAUUCCCGCGGGAUCCGCGGGUGCUACACAGAGCAGAGGUCCACAUUCCUGUGGGAUCCGCGGCAGUAGUGAUCCGCGGCUGCUACACAGAGCGGAGGUCCGCAUUCCCGCGGGAUCUGCGGCAGUAGUGAUCCGCGGCUGCUACACAGAGCAGAGGUCCGCAUUCCCGCGGGAUCCGCGGCUGCUACAUAGAGCGGAGGUCCGCAUUCCUGCAGGAUCCGCGGCAAUAGUGAUCCGCGGCUGCUACACAGAGAGGAGUUCCGCAUUCCCGCGGGAUCCGCGGCAGUAGUGAUCCGCGGCAGUAGUGAUCCGCGGCUGCUACACAGAGAGGAGUUCCGCAUUCCCGCGGGAUCCGCGGCAGUAGUGAUCCGCGGCAGUAGUGAUCCGCGGCUGCUACACAGAGCAGAGGUCCGCAUUCCCGCGGGAUCCGUGGCUGCUACACAGAGCGGAGGUCCGCAUUUCCGCGGGAUCCGCGGCAGUAGUGAUCCGCGGCAGUAGUGAUCCGCGGCUGCUACACAGAGCAGAGGUCCGCAUUCCCGCGGGAUCCGUGGCUGCUACACAGAGCGGAGGUCCGCAUUUCCGCGGGAUCCGCGGCAGUAGUGAUCCGCGGCAGUAGUGAUCCGUGGCUGCUACACAGAGCGGAGGUCCGCAUUUCCGCGGGAUCCGCGGCAGUAGUGAUCCGCGGCAGUAGUGAUCCGCGGCUGCUACACAGAGCGGAGGUCCGCAUUCCCGCGGGAUCCGCAACAGUAGUGAUCCGCGGCAGUAUUGAUCCGCGGCUGCUACACAGAGCGGAGGUCCGCAUUCCCGCGGGAUCCGCGGCAGUAGUGAUCUGCGGCUCCUACACAGAGCGGAGGUCCGCAUUCCCGCGGGAUCCGCGGCAGUAGUGAUCCGCGGCUGCUACACAGAGCGGAGGUCCGCAUUCCCGCGGGAUCCACAGCAGUAGUGAUCCGCGGCUGCUACACAGAGCGGAGAUCCGCAUUCCCGCGGGAUCCGCGGCAGUAGUGAUCCGCGGCUGCUACACAGAGCGGAGGUCCGCAUUCCCGCGGGAUCCGCGGCAGUAGUGAUCCGCGGCUGCUACACCGAGCGGAGGUCCGCAUUCCCGCGGGAUCCGCGGCAGUAGUGAUCCGCGGCUGCUACACAGAGCGGAGGUCCGCAUUUCCGCGGGAUCCGCAGCAGUAGUGAUCCGCGGCAGUAGUGAUCUGCGGCUGCUACACAGAGCGGAGGUCCGCAUUCCCGCGGGAUCCGCGGCAGUAGUGAUCUGCGGCUGCUACACAGAGCAGAGGUCCGCAUUCCUGCGGGAUCCGUGGCAGUAGAGUGUGGUGUCAGAUACAUUUUCACUUUUGAAUGUUGGAGCACAAGAAUCGAAAUAAGUCAUGGCAUCCUGAAAAAAGAAUUUAAAUAAUUAAGUACUGCUCAGAUAUGUUUUGUGCUAUUUUAUCAAACUUGUUGUUGUUAUUGUUAUUAUUAUUAUUAUUAUUAUUAUUAUUAAUUGUGGGUUUAGCCUCUUUGCAUGUGAUCAGAAGCUCAGCCCCACCACAUCUGCGGGUCACUGAGCGAGGCCCUUAACCCCCUGCUGUGGGAGGCUGGCCUUUGUAGUCAGCUUGCUGUCACCUACAGAGAGCGAGUUGGGGAGGAAGCGUAAAGAGAAUUUCCCAUUGGGGAUCAAAAAAGUAUCAGUUAGAUGACAAGCUUCUCCAGGAGCAGAACGAAAUAUGACAAGCAGGUGGGUGCGUGACAGAACCUUGCAGGAGGGAGUGGGAUUUAAAAUUCCAUCCUGUGCCGACAUCUAGCACAGGAAGCAGAAGUAACUGGAUAAAACGUUGGUGGCAUUCAUACUUAUAUAAACACAGUUUGCCAAUAUCACAGUCAGGAAAAUGAUCGAGGUCAUGUUCAUAUACAGUACUGUUCCAAGUCGAUAUCAUAAUUAUCGCGACUGGCCUAGUAAGUCCUGUACUUUAACUGCAUAUAAUCAUUUGGAUUUUUGUAAAAAUGUAAUUUGUUUGUGUAUUGAAAUACAUGUGCUCUCUCCAUGUUACAGCUAUUUAAGUGUCGGAUCUCAUGGAGGUAGUGUUAAUAUUUUGACAUUAAAGCAGAUUUUUAUUUGGCAACUGAAAGAGCCUGCAAGACAUCAGCCUCGCGCCUUUAAAUCAUCACACAUCGCUAACAGAGCUUUUAAUGACAUUACUGUCAUUUCAACGUGAUCCUGUUCAAAUACUGUUUAAAUACUGUGUAAAGGCCUGAAUUCUUACAUUGUAAUUUCAGGUGUGUGUUCUUUAGCUUAAUUAUUACAGGAGAACGACCGCUCUGCAUUCCUGUUCUGCAAAAAGCUGUUGAAAUGCAGUCAGACGCAGCAUGUUUUAUAUAAAACUAUUAUGGACAUUUACAUAUUUUUGUAUUGCUGCUCUGCAGUCAUUUGGUAAAUCGUAGAUAAAUGAUAAAUUACGUUUGCCAAGCAUCAGAUCGUGUUCGUUUAUUGUAAGUUUGUUUGCUUACGUCCUACGUGUGGCUUAGCCGUUAAGCAAGGAUUACAGUCUCUCUCUGCUGUGAUUCCCCC